UACAGAGGUCUCAAGCGUUGUUCGGAUUCAUUGGGCGUAAAGGGUGCGUAGGCGGCGUGGUAAGUCGGAUAUGAAAUCUCGGGGCUCAACCCCGAAACUGCACUUGAUACUGCGGUGCUCGAGUACUGGAGAGGAGAUUGGAAUUUACGGUGUAGCAGUGAAAUGCGUAGAUAUCGUAAGGAAGACCAGUGGCGAAGGCGAAUCUCUGGACAGUUACUGACACUGAGGCUCGAAGGCCAGGGGAGCAAACGGG
rnacentral:rRNA from 1 species